rnacentral:pre_miRNA from 1 species
UAAAUACUCCUUCCGUCCGGAAAUACUUGUCCUCAAAAUGGAUAGAAAGAGAUGUAUUUAGAACUAAAAUACAUCUAAAUACAUCUCAUUUUAUUCAUUUUAAUGACAAGUAUUUUCGGACGGAGGGAGUAGAUG